UUUUUUUUUUUUUUUCUCUUUUUUCUCUCUUAACUAAGAUGUAGCAAUUCUUGUAUUUCUAGUUUCUUUGUUACAUGUCAGUACAUUCCAUCUGGCAACCAUGACUUCUAAUGAGGAUGCAUCUUAUUUUGGUUCUGUAGCACUGUAGACCAACUAAUACCCUAGGCUUGACCCAUAUUCUCCCACUAGAUUAAUGCUGCUUUCACUGCUGCCCCUUCCUCAUUCCUUUCAAGACAGGGUUUUAUCUGGUACCCUGAAUGGCUUGGGGCCUUGAACUUGUAUACCCUAGCCUCUGCCUCCGUAAUGCUGGGAUCCCAAACCUGAAUUAUCCUGCCUGGCUAGCUCAUCUUCUAUGUUUUAAGGGAAGAUGAUUUUCCUUUAUGCUUUGGUUCCUUUACCUUCUUAUUCUUUGUAAAGUUCAAUAUAAUCUGCGUAUAAUCACUGAAAUUGGUUUUCUCUCUGUUAACUUUCAAUGUUGAGGCUCUAUGAAUUUUAUGUUUAUUUGGUAAUGAAGAGUAAAUUUUCAUGUUACUUCAGUUAACUACCACCUUUCUUAAUGUAGUAAAAUUUUCUUUCUCAAUUGAGCAAUGGUCUUUGGGUAAAUUUAUACUUCUAUUUUUGCUAUAAUGCAAAUCAUUUCAUCCAAACUACUAACUAGAUAUGUGUCAGCUCCUGCCAGAUGGCCCCCACAUCCCAACUUUGCUUUAGGAGUAGACAUGAGCAGUGUGUCCCUAAGCACAGCUUGCCGUUCAUAAGCACAUACUCACAACUCACAGUGCUGGUCUGAGUUCUCUUCAUCAGAUUAGGCACCUAGAUUGCCUGUCUCUGAAGCCUGUCUCAGGAUUUCUGGUUUACUCUUACACACCUUAGCCUAGAAGUGGAGGAGUGAUGUGACUUGCUUGUAUAAUUACAAACUUUUUGAUCUUCCAGUUUCUGAUCUCUCAGAUAAGCCUCCAUAUUUACAUUUAAUCUGAAGUAAUUUUUUUUAUAUUGUAUUUGUAUGAUUACACUAUUCCUCCCUUCAGACACACCAGAGGAGGGCACUGAAUCCCAUUACAGAUGGCUGUGAGCCACCAUGUGGUUGCUGGGAAUUGCUCAGGACUUCUGGAAGAGCAGUCAGUGCUCUUACCCACUGAGCCAUCUCCCCAACCCCUGUAGUAAAUUUUUAUCACUUUUCUGUUUUAUCUUUAAUUAAAUCCUGAAAGAACUGCCUAUUUUUGUUUAAUACAGAAUAUCAUCUAAUGUUCCAGUUUCAGAAUUUAAAAAAAUUUUAAACCAUAUAUGUACUGGGUGUCUAAAACAUGUUUUCAAAGUUAUGUUUGAAUACAAUAGAAACAUUGACCUAAAAUUCAUAGCGUUAUCUCAUUAUUUAGCCUUUCCCUUUGAGUAACUGCAUUUAGAAGUUAAAAUAUUCUGAUUGUCUACUUUUUUUUUUUGACCUAUUUCACCUAGUCUAAGAGUGUUUUAUGAUACAUCUCUGGAAUUUUUGAUCAGUCUAGACUACUUAUAUUUUAGAAGAAGAAAUGGCUCUGGAGUGAUCAAAGGGAAUGCUCUGUUCUAACGCCUUACACCUGGAGCAGUUGUUAGCACCGUCAGCAGCACAGCUGUAUUUAGACAUAUCAGAGCAGGAUGUGGCAGAUGGUGAUGCAACAGAGGUCCUGUCAGAUCCUGUCCGGGAGGAUGAGAUGCCUGGCAAUGCCAAGUCAAGGAGUAAUGAGUCUUAAGAAGCAUGAAUCCUACUAAGUAUAUAACUGACUUUUCCAAUUGUGAGUUCUUGUAGUCAUACAUUUCUCAGAAUGAAUUAACAAUCCAUUCAAUGACCCUUUUCCUUGUUGAAGUGGAUUAUUAAAUUUUAGUAGUUAAAAUCAUGAAAGCAGUUGUCCUUUCUCAAAUUUUUGUUUGGAAACAUGCUUUUUACUUUGUGUCAGAUUUAAUCUAAAAUAACUCUAGUAUUUCAUCUCCUCCUUUCCCCCUGCUUAACCCCUAGACCUGACUUUGAGAAACCUUCACAGAAGACACAUUUUAGAACAUGUCUCAGCAACUGGGUUUGUACUAUGAAGUUUUCUGGUGUAGAACAGCAUGUCACAGUCCAUCCAUACAGAAUGGCACACAUCUACCUUUUCUGGGCCUUGAAGUCAUAGCACCCCAAUAUGUGACAUUACAUAUGAAUACCAUUUCAAUGUGUAUCCCUGCUACCUCAGUUCAAAGAGGAGAGCUUUAGAAAGGAGUAAUGGAAGUGACCUUCUGUUUGUCACCGGUGGGUCUUACAUUUUGUCAUUCUGUUUUGCAAUUGUAAUUCGGGUGCGUUAAAGGAAGCAAACAAACAAGAAAACCAGACUUUGGGUUGUAAUUUCAUUUAUUUAAAAAUAAAAUUAAACUCAUUUUUUUCCUGACAAGUCUCAUUUAUCAGUUGGUAAAACAAGGAUAGUCUUUGCCAAUUCAGUUGUGAAGUGUAGUUGUUACCUGCACUGUUUAUAAUGAAGAACUUUUCUUU
rnacentral:lncRNA from 1 species